rnacentral:rRNA from 1 species
AGCGCCUCGUGAAUUCAUCUCCGGGGGUAGAGCACUGUUUCGGCUAGGGGGCCAUCCCGGCUUACCAACCCGAUGCAAACUGCGAAUACCGGAGAAUGUUAUCACGGGAGACACACGGCGGGUGCUAACGUCCGUCGUGAAGAGGGAAACAACCCAGACCGCCAGCUAAGGUCCCAAAGUCAUGGUUAAGUGGGAAACGAUGUGGGAAGGCCCAGACAGCCAGGAUGUUGGCUUAGAAGCAGCCAUCAUUUAAAGAAAGCGUAAUAGCUCACUGGUCGAGUCGGCCUGCGCGGAAGAUGUAACGGGGCUAAACCAUGCACCGAAGCUGCGGCAGCGACACUGUGUGUUGUUGGGUAGGGGAGCGUUCUGUAAGCCUGUGAAGGUGUGUCGUGAGGCAUGCUGGAGGUAUCAGAAGUGCGAAUGCUGACAUAAGUAACGAUAAAGCGGGUGAAAAGCCCGCUCGCCGGAAGACCAAGGGUUCCUGUCCAACGUUAAUCGGGGCAGGGUGAGUCGACCCCUAAGGCGAGGCCGAAAGGCGUAGUCGAUGGGAAACGGGUUAAUAUUCCCGUACUUGGUGUUACUGCGAAGGGGGGACGGAGAAGGCUAUGUUGGCCGGGCGACGGUUGUCCCGGUUUAAGCGUGUAGGUGUGUGUUCCAGGUAAAUCCGGUUCACUUUAACACUGAGGCGUGACGACGAGGCACUACGGUGCUGAAGCAACAAAUGCCCUGCUUCCAGGAAAAGCCUCUAAGCAUCAGGUAACAUCAAAUCGUACCCCAAACCGACACAGGUGGUCAGGUAGAGAAUACCAAGGCGCUUGAGAGAACUCGGGUGAAGGAACUAGGCAAAAUGGUGCCGUAACUUCGGGAGAAGGCACGCUGACACGUAGGUGAAGUGAUUUACUCAUGGAGCUGAAGUCAGUCGAAGAUACCAGCUGGCUGCAACUGUUUAUUAAAAACACAGCACUGUGCAAACACGAAAGUGGACGUAUACGGUGUGACGCCUGCCCGGUGCCGGAAGGUUAAUUGAUGGGGUCAGCGCAAGCGAAGCUCCUGAUCGAAGCCCCGGUAAACGGCGGCCGUAACUAUAACGGUCCUAAGGUAGCGAAAUUCCUUGUCGGGUAAGUUCCGACCUGCACGAAUGGCGUAAUGAUGGCCAGGCUGUCUCCACCCGAGACUCAGUGAAAUUGAACUCGCUGUGAAGAUGCAGUGUACCCGCGGCAAGACGGAAAGACCCCGUGAACCUUUACUAUAGCUUGACACUGAACAUUGAGCCUUGAUGUGUAGGAUAGGUGGGAGGCUUU